CAAAGAUUAUGCUUAACUCUGGUGGUGACGUUGAACAGCAUUCCAACUCACCGAAAGUGUAAUGUCCAUGAAUACAGACUUAGAUCGAUGUUCUACAGAAUUCAGUGGGAAAACUUCUGCAUGUGAUGAGUUAAAGUUCCCACUCCCUGCUGUGUUUCAUUAAGGACUAAAGGCAGGUUUUUUUAUGCUCUAGAAUGGCUUGUGGGCUUCUUUCAGAAAGGACACACUGCUGAGCAGCACCUCUGUUCCUAGGUAUCUCACUUGGAAGGUCCUAAAAGUUGAUAGUGGUUUUUUUUUCUCUCCAGUUACUCACAGGCAUUAAAUAAACUGAAAAUGCAAUGGUGAUACAAGUGCCAAAUUGCUGAGAUAUGCAGAUGACUUCUCUCCAUGCCCUUUCCUGUCGAGGACCAUAGUGCCAGCCAGCAAGAUGGCUGGUUGCCUUUGCCUGAUCAAGGAAUGCUUGAGGAACAGCUAAUGGCUGAACACCUCUAAAAUGGAGUUGAUGGUUGUGAAGGGCAGGAGGAGUUGCUAGGAGUUGGUAACUAGUGUUCAUCUAAAAAUAUGUGCCUGCAGUCACUCCCUCUAGCCUGUAAUUCAGGAACCUGCUUAAAAUCUCUCACAUUAUGAUGUCCACAAAGCAUGAUCUUCAUUAUCUCCAGGUGAUUAGAAGAUGAUGUUCCCUUCAGGCAAAAGAUGGCAUCUUCCCAGAUAUUUGCACCUUUGCGUUGUAGCCCACAGCCAUUUGGUGUCCCUGGACCCGAAGGAGUAGGGCUAAUUUGUUUUGUACAGCAUGUAGGAGUGUGAGGCAGCGCCAGUCUCCAUGAGCAUCCUAGCACUGGCUUCCAGGCAGUUUUAAAUCCUUUUUGAAAUUCUGGGUGUUUAUCUUUCAGUUUCCUUGUAGCUGGACCUUGCUUGGGUAUUUUUAUUAUAGUCUUGUGACAAAAACUGUGAUGAGUGGCUUUGUGCCUCCAGCACAAUUGGCUGCUCUACAGUAGUGGUUUUAACUCUCUUUUUUUCCCCAAACAUCUUCUAUGGACUCAUGGACAGCUUAGCAAUGAUUUUAACCUCAACUGUGUUAAUCUUGGGCAUUGCGAGUUUGUUGAGGUUUUAUCAAUAGAAACCUGUCAAAAGCCAGUGCUCUACAGCCAGUGCAGAGUUAGCCUGUGCUCCAGGCAGGAUUUUCCUGUAGGAUGGUUUGAAAUGGAUACGUGGACUUCCCCACAACUUUCCAGUCACAUGCCUGGUCUCGUGCGCCGUGUAUGUGGUUGACUUCAUUCUUGCCUUCCCUAUCAUGACCACAGGGGCUCUUGUUUACAGUGCAAACAAAACGCUGCUUGAGUUGUUUUCUUUGUGGAGGGGAUGAGAGAAGAAGUAACAUGAGGUAAUGAUUCCUCGGUGAGCUAGUGCUGGGGACAGUGUGGUGAUACCCCCUAGCACUUCUUGAUCCCUAUUACAGUGAAAUAUAAGCUGUUGCACCCUUCAGAAAGCAAAGGAAAUGUGCCAUGUGGCAGGCAAAGAAGAAAGCAUCGUUUUGUCCCAUAGCAUCUUUAUUUACAGAGUUUAUCCUGAGAGGCUCAAAGCAUCACUAACUGUAACAGAGACUCAGUACACAAUGACUUACUUUCCCCAGUGAAUCAACAAUUAUAAAUGGACAUUUAAGUUUUGAGGUCUUUGUAUAUCCCUAAUGCAGGAAUGAAGCUCCCAGAUCAGCUGAUGCUGGUGAGGAGAUGUAGAUGCGUUAUUAGGUAUAACUUGGUUUAUCUCCUUUGACAAUUUUCUGAUACCUCUUGAUCAUUAAGGUCUGGAUUAAGUGGGGAAAAAGCAUUGCUUGUAUAGGUGCUAUGUAGCUUAUGCCUCAGAUCUUUUAUGAGGGAGUUUAGGUGCUUAAUGUCUUAUAAUUCAGAAAGAAAAAUCAGCCUUGUGUCCAGCUUCCCUCUGUCAGGGGCCAAGCUGAGGGUUAGGUGAGCACAUAAUAGAAACCCAGAUAUUUGAAAAUCAUGUUUCCAGCUGUAUUUACUGCAACUGUAGAUGAAACGCAUUAAAGAGGAAGGGGCUUUUGUGGGGGUGGUUUUACAUUUGCUGAGUGGGUUUAAUGAGGCUUAAGGUGUCAUUCCUGGAAGAGCAGUCAUUUUCUUUCCUGUGACCUGGCAUCCUGACAUUGUUGUGAUGCACUGCUGUGUCAGGAGCAUCCCUGGCACUGGGAAGAGGUGGCUUUCUGGCAGCGGCAUCAGUGGUGUUGCACAGGUGAGAGAAGAUGCUUGGCAGUUCUGGAAGAGAGUAGGAAAAGUAAGUCUGUAUGUGUCUGGCUGCCCAAAACCCCCAUCCUGAUCUGCAGAGAAACCAGGGUUUCAGUAUUUUGUUCCAAAUCCCUACUCCACUGAAAAUAUAGUUGUUAUUUGUAAUUAAUAAAUAAAUGGCUUUCAUCCUGAGCCUGUAACAGAAAGCAGAAAUCAAACUGUUCUGUCCUUCAGUCUGACCAGAAACGCCUGCUUGUGUUUCACAGGAACUCCACAGGCAUUUCUGGUGCUCCUGAGCUGAUGAAGGAUCAGAAAGGCUAUCACAUUGCUUCACUGUGAUAGCAGAAAUACUGUGCACUUUUCAUCUGAGGAUUACGAAAAGUGAACUUCACCCUGUGAAGCUGUUAUCAUAAUGGUUUAUGGAUGGAGAACUGAGGCUAAUCUCGACAUUCUGAAGGUUACCCUGCAUGCCAGUCACACAAACAGUUGUGUGUCCUGUUUCCUGCUACUUUUUCCCUACCCUUUCUUAAAACACAAGGGGAGAAAUCUAUCUACGCAGGGUCUAACAUAACUUAGCUAAGCAAGCAUCAUUUAAGUUGUUAGGUGAGACCUUCUGCAGGGGGAUAAAUUGGUUGAGAGCUUUGCAGGCUGCUUCACAAAAGACAAAUGACUGCAUGAAAUUUGAUUUGUGGAGAAACUGCUUCCUAGGAGAAAGCAGAACCUCAGCAUCAGUAGAUCUGCAAACUAAUGAUGUAAAAAUAGCUUGGAUAAUAAAAAGCUGGUAAAUAGAGGUAUGAUAGCAGUUGGGAUUCAUGUGAGAGACAAGCUAAUCAGAGUCUGCAGGAAUUUAUUCCCUCACAGGGUUCCUCUGAGUCAGGUCACUUUUAGUUGAAGCAGAAGAAUAUCUAUUUGUAGAAACCUAAAGUUAUCUUCCUGUAAAACAAAGCAGAAAACUGCCCAACUGCAAGCUCGAGCCUGCUCAGAAUAAUCCAGAUUUUUUUUGAAGGACUUUGGGGAUAUAUAUCCUUCUGAAGGUUCCCAUUCUUCCUGUCUUUUCUUUGCCAAGUUAAUAACUAGUUACUCCUUGAUUAUUGCUUAUCAUUGUCUACUUUUUCAUGGAUACAGCAAGGGACUAUGAGGCUGUUAAUAGCUAUGCCCAGAUCACCUUUCCUUCUCAAGCAUGGUUUUAUUAGCUUAAAAAUACCAGUGCGAGUGAAACAUCCUGAAGUUCCCGUACUUUUCCUUUAUGUUAACUGAAAUCCUGAGUGCUUUUCAGAGCAUCCUCAGUGAAUACCAGAAGUGUGUCUCCUUCUUCUUGCCUUAAAUUGCUGCACCCCAACAGCAUUGAUCAACAACAUCAGAUGUGAAAGCUUGACUUAAGCAGUCCUAGUCUCUUUUUCAUCCCGUAGUUGAACACUUUCUUUCAUCUUUUCAGUUGUUCCUAAACACGGCAACAAGCAUGGUUCUGCAACAGAUGCAAUUCUUUCUAGGUCUCUAGGUAACAUUUUAACCUGUGUAAUGCUCACAGCACAGCAUCGUAAGUAAUAUUCCAGGAAAUACGCUGCCGCUUGUUAAAAAGGAUAGGACCCCAGAGAUGCCUUUAAAUAUGCCUGUAAAGUGAGAGGUGCCAAGAGAAAGGAUAAUAUGGCUGAUUAUAGUUAUUUACCUUACAUUUUCAUUCGCCCUUAACUGGGUGUAAUUUAGGGGCAUGAAAUCUCAUAUUGGAAGUGUAUUUGCAUUAAACAGCUCUAAGCAACCAUGAAAGUGCAGAAGCUGAAAAAUUGACAGACUGGGUUCCUAGAAUCCCAAAGUAGCAUUUUUUUUUAAUAGGCAUACAAACAAAUCAAAUAAACAUGUUUUGCUUCAACAAUUUAAAGAAUAUGGUCUUUGGAGUAAUUUGUCUUUUUCUUUUUUUUAGAACUAUCAUUUCUAAGCUUUUCAUUGCCUAUCUCUAGUUUGCAGCUCCUCUUAACAAUCUGCAGCAAUUUCCAACCCAGCUGUUGUGGUUGCAGAGCACUGUGCCUUUGUUUAGCUUUCCCUCAGCUAUCAAAUCGGCCUAUAAAGGGGAUUACCUGGCUGGUGAUGUUGUUUUUCAGGUCUGCACUUUUUAACAAAUAAUUGUUUCACUGUGGCUCUUUCCCUUCUCCCCCUCCUCCACC